UUAAUUUUAAGGUUUAUUUAGCAACACUCUAGAUAAAUCCAUACAUACGUAAAACGAGCAUAAUAAUAGUAGCUAGUAGGAAUUAUAUCCCAACAAUUCAACAAGAACGAACAAAGUAGUGAUAUUCUCACUCUCAUAGCAAUACUACAAAUAAUAGGACAAAACAAUAUUUGUAAACACACGAGUGGUCCAUAUAGUUCUCCAGAAAUCCCUAAAAUAGAUCUUGCAUCUAGGUAUGCAACACCACAUGAAAGGCCCAUACCAUAUGUGAUUAUGAACCUUUAUUUAACUACAUAUAGAUAUAGUAGUACAACAAAUAUUACUGUCCGGCUGGGAAACGAAACCGUCAAUAUGCCACUGACAAUAUGCCGAUAUAAUUGUCGCAAACAAAACGUACUCACAUGUUAUCGAUACAAUUUCACCAAUAUUAACGGACAUAUAUUAUUUCAACAAUGUCGAUGCACACAACCUUUAUUUAAUAAAGAACUGAUGGCUUGCAUAGAGAACUUCUGAGAUAUUCAUCAGAGACAUAUAUGUAUACACCAUUUUUAUUAAGGGGUGGUGGUUAUUGAAGGUGGAGAGAACGGAAAUAUGGGAGUUGAUGGGAAAUUUGGAAGUGAAGUAAUAAUAGGGGGAGGCAACCUAUAUUCUGGCCAUAAAGGUGCGGGGGUCAGAGGAGGAAACUUCAGGUUCCGAGGAGGAAACUUCAGGUUAGGGAUCUUAGGCAGCUUAUAAUGAGGAAAGGUAGGGGCUAAGAGUUUUCGAGGAGCGGCGAAAGCUAAAUGUGUGCUUGAAAGUAAUGAAGCGACGACAAAGAUAGCUAUGACAAACGAUUUCCAAGUGGCCAUCUUAGUGUGUGGAAAUAAAGCUGAUGAAAUUUGAUGUGGACGAGAAGACCAGCCUAUGGUUAUAAUUUAUAACGUUGAUUCCAUUGGGAACAAGAACAACCCCAUUUAUUUUUGGUUUUAAAUGCUGUAAAAUUCUGUUGAAAAAUAAAAAUAUGUCAGAUGCCGGUAUGGGUCAAAAUUUAGAAUAGGAUAGUACUAAUUUGUAGUUUUCCAUUAAAAGUCUCGCAGUUGGUAGGUACACCUAUCAUUGUCUUGGUUUCUAUUUUGCUUUGCCAUGCCAUUCUUCACAAAGAGAUAUGCCAUUUUUCUCGUUCUUCUUGAAAAGGAAAGGUUGAUAGAAUAAUUAAUCUCAAAGAUAAAAUAGACUUUGGCUGGAAAGGGAUAAUGAAAUGAUUGAAAAAGGCGAUGCGGCCCUUUGUUGUUUUGUUGCCGAUAACAAUAUAUAUAUAUAUAUAUAUAUAUAUACAGAGAGCUUUCAUUGAGGGAUCCUUCAAAUAAGCUUAUUUGAGGGACACCCCUUGUAGGCCCCAUUCCGGAUUGUAUUUCACUAAUCCAAACCGUCUAUUUUGUACAUACUCAUUCAAAGAUCAUCUCAACAAAAAAUCACUUGAAUCCGAUAUUAUUUGACCACUCAAUUAAGCUAUUGAAAUUUUAGCAUUUUCUUGAAGCAUCGUAUUCUUUGAUUUUGUAAGACACAAUUGGAUGUCGAAAUGGUUUCCGAUUUGUCUAAUUUUUUGUAAGGAUGAUCUAUGAAUAAAGACCUAAAAAAUAGAUGGUUUGGAUCAUUGGGAAAAAAAAUUGUGGGGUACCCUAAGGGGUGUCCCUCAAAUAAAAUUAUUUGAGGGAUCCCUCAAUAGAAGGGGACUGAUAUAUAGAGAGCUUCUAUUGAGGGAUCCCUCAAAUAAGCUUAUUUGAGGGACACCCCCUUGUAGGCCCCAUUCCGGAUUGUAUUCACUAAUCCAAACCGUCUAUUUUGUACAUACUCAUUCAAAGAUCAUCUCAACAAAAAAUCACUUGAAUCCGAUAUUAUUUGACCACUCAAUUAAGCUAUUGAAAUUUUAGCAUUUUCUUGAAGCAUCGUAUUCUUUGAUUUUGUAAGACACAAUUGGAUGUCGAAAUGGUUUCCGAUUUGUCUAAUUUUUUGUAAGGAUGAUCUAUGAAUAAAGACCUAAAAAAUAGAUGGUUUGGAUCAUUGGGAAAAAAAAUUGUAGGGUACCCUAAGGGGUGUCCCUCAAAUAAAAUUAUUUGAGGGAUCCCUUAAUAGAAGGGGACUGUAUAUAUAUAUAUAUAUAUAUAUGUUAUAUUGUUGUUUGGGUGUGGUCUCCAAUUCCAAGUCAAGUCACGUCAAGUCAAUGGUCUCAAUUUCAAGCCAAGUUAAUAGACUCAAUUUCAAGCCAAGUCAAGUGGUUCCAAUUUCAAACUAAGUCAAGACAGACUCAACUUCACAAGAAAUUAUUAUUUACAAUGAAAGUAAAUAAAUGAAAGACCAAGGAGUUUUGGUUGGGAUUUCACUCAAAGGCGAACUAGUGGCCCAUGGAUUCUCUCUCUCUCUCUCUCUCUCUCUCUCUCUCUCUCUCUAUAUAUAUAUAUAUAUAUAUUUAAUACGAAGGAGUAAGAAGUCAUAUGAACUUUGGCCAAGUUUCUUGAAAAUGCCAAAUUGCCUAAAGAUCUUUAGGCAAAAAGAUCUGAUGAAAGUUCGAAGGCUAACUUUAUGGCUUUAUACUAUCUAUAUAAUAAUAUUUAAACUCAACAUGAUGCAGAUGGACUCAUUAGAAUUCUAAAUCACCCAACAUCAGUGGAUUAUGUUUAAUCAAAACUAGAAACUCCGGAAACCAUGAUGUCUCACCAGAAGAAAAUAAUGCCCUGUUGAAACUGGUGAGUUCGUACUCCAUUGGUACGCUGAGAAGGCUAGACAUGCUGCAGGUUUCUAAUGAAAAGAUUCUGGGAGACCAGGAGAGACUCAUGGCUAAGCUUAAGAGGCGCCAUUCUCUUCCUUCAGAGGCUUCCAGAACAUAAUGUAAUCUUUUAGAUUUUACAGAGCCUGCACCUUUAUUGCAGGUGGAAAAUCUAUCUGUUGUAUGCCUUCUUUCAUGUUAUAAUAAUUGUGCAAAUUCUUAAACUUGCACCUGUGGUUUUUACGUCUUUUCAAAAUGACGAUUUGGAACCUUGUGUCUUAUAGGUUCAAGUAACCACAUCAAAUCUCUCAAAUUACAUAUUUCAAUGCAUGUGAGCCCGGAACUUCUGGCUCGGGCUAAACACGACCUCAGAAUUUAUUCGCCCUUUUCAAAUAUGCAUGAAAUAUGAAUUGAGGAAAAGUCAUGAUAAUAUUGUAAUAUAGUAGUGAAGAGCAUUAACUACUAUAUAAUCAAAACUUCAGGUUCAGGACUUUUCAUAUAUUGGGAUCAAUGGGCUUCUAGCCCAGAUCAUAUAAUAUAACCAAAUAUGUGGGGAGCCUCAAUUCAUCAUUUGAGGUUUAUCCUGAUAUUAUCCAUUUCAUGGUGCAUUCUUAACAACCGGAAUUCACAAAAUAUAUUUCUUCCUUGAGGUGUCGAUUGUAACAGAAUUGAACUUUAUUAAAUUUAUCAUUUCUUAUGCCAAAGAAAUAUGUGGUGUACCACAAUUUGCAAUAAUACCUCAAGGGUUGCCCAUUUAACUAUAGGAACUUCAAGUUCUCAAUAUUGCCAUAUUUUAAACUUUAUGCCAAAAUCAUAUAUUCUUAUAGUAUGGGCAUUCAAUACUCUUAGAUUUUGAACUUCAGGCCAAAAUCACAUAUUCUCAUGGUAUGAACAUUUUUACAAUUUUCUGUAUGUAUUUUGGGACUUCAAGCACUUACAUAAUUGUCCAUAUUUUGAGAAACUUCUGGCAUCUCAUUUAAUUGCUCAUUUAUGAGUUUAAGGAACUGCAUGUUCCCUUUUGUAUAUAGUGACAAUUUACCCAAAAUGGUUAAUAUUUAUGCAUAUGUCACUAUUCAUGUAUACGAUACUAUUCAUCAAGUCAUGAAUACGUAUCUAUUCAUGUGUACAGUACAUUUGCUAGUACAGUUAUUAUUUAUGUGUACAUCACUUUUAACCAAUACGGUACUGUUGCAUCAUCAAGGAACUCUAGGUCUUUAUUUACAUGUCAAGGAUCAAGGAUCUUCAAGUCCGAUAUCUUGUUUACAAGUAUAGUAAACAAGAGAUUGUCAGCUCUCAUAUCAUUAUCAUCAUCAAGGAUCUUCAAGUCCUGAUGUAGUUGUAUGAUGGGGAUCAAAGAACUUUUGGUCCUGAUCUGUAUGCUGUAAAAACUCAUCAUACUGCACAAUUAAUCCAUAAAAUAAAUUGCUUGUAAAUAAAUUGCUUGAUGUAUGGACGUUAAUCCUGCGCCAUACCUUAAAUAAAAUUAAAUAUGCGGUAAAGUAAAUUCAUAAAUUAAAUUGCUUGCUGUACGGACGUUAAUCCCACACCAUACCUUAAAUAAAAGUAAAUGUGCAAUAAAGUAAAUUGCUUGUUGUAUUGGAGUUAAUUCCACACCAUACAAUAAUAAAGUAAAUGUGCUUGUAUGAGCACUAAUUCUGCUCCAUACUUUUAAAUAAAAGUAAAGGCAGUUGUGUGGACGAUAAACCUGCACCACACUUUUAAAUAAAUAUUGUUGUAUGGGUAAUAAACCUACACCAUACAAGAAAUAAAUUGUAUGAGUAAUGAACCUACACCAUAUAGUAAAUAAAAUAACUGUGGGAAUAAAACCACCACUAAAAAUAUAGGAAGUGAAACCGUCUAUUUUUAUUAGUUGUUAGUAAUAUGAAAGCAAAUAAGUAUAUUAUAUUACUAUCAACUUUUCAUAUCAAUAUUAUAAUUAUAUAUAUAAGAUAACCAUAUAUAAUAAAUUGACAGUUAUCGCUUCUGACAAUCGUGGAUUAUAUAUACUAGAUUAAGACUACCAUAUCAAAUAAUAUUCUAUAAAUAUCACUUGUGUAUAUACAUAUAACUUGAGUAUAUUGCCAUUUAUAUAUAUAAUAUGUUAUAUCAAAACCAAAAAGUUAAUGAUGCUUUAAUAUAAUAUAUAAAGCAACCAUAUAUCAAAAGGAAUCAUGGCCGACAAUGAAUCAUUGCAUAUGUGCAUGUUUUCAACUUUGUUGCUUUCACUCCUGCCAUUAGCACUCAAACUGUUUGUAUAAUCAGCAUAUAUAUAUAAGGUAGCAUUGAAUAAUGUAAAGUAUUAAUAAACGAAGAAGAUGAAAAAAUAGUGAGCUUAUCAUGUUUUGGUGGAUUUGCUCGUAUAUCUCUCUAGCAGACCACAGCUCCUUCUCUUUUCUUCCUUACAUCAACACAAUGAUCAGUAGUAUAAAUAAUAGUGCAACACAAAAAUUAUACAUGAGAGCUUCUCGUGCUAAUAACGUGUUAUACAAUAACUGGAAUAUGUGCGAAUAUUGAGCUGCACGUAAAGUGGAUGAGAAACAGUAACUUUUCCACUAUGUAAAAUAAUAGGGCUACAACUUUAGUGUUUACAAUAUAUGUAGCUCACUAAUUUUUCUCUCUUGGAGAAUUUCUCUCCUCUCACCCACUCUCUUUCUUUCUUUUCUUUCCUUCCUCUCUGCCUGACUCUCUUUCUUCUCUCAGUUGGAGUCUUCACCAAAGGAAGGGGGGAAGCCUUAUUUGUAGGCAGAAUUUUGUGGCUGCUUACUCAUUUCUCUUUGGCUUCACGUGGGUGUUGACAAGCAUCAUCAUUACUCUUCAAUUAAUUAGGUAGUGUGCUCUACCAUUUUGGCCUCCACAUUCUUGACUUUACAACAAGUAUAUAUUUUAAUAUGGAGGAGUAAGAAGUCACAACUUUGGCCAAGUUUCUUGAAAAGGACAAAUGGCCUAAAGAUCUUUAUAAAAAAGAUCUAAUGAAAGUUCGAAGGCCACCUUUAUGGCCUUAUACUAUCUAUAUAAUAUUAUUUAGACUCAACAUAUAAGGUAUAAUCAUAGUCUAAAAUAUCGAUAAUAUCGACGAAAUUAUCAUUUUUUCGAGUCACAAAUAUUUGGAACGUAUCCACACAUAUCGUAUAAAUAUCGAUAAUAUCAGAAAAUAUCGAUGUCGAUAAUUGUGCUCACUCACUACUACAAAAAAGGAAAAAGACGACGGUAAAUCACCGUCGUGUAUUCGAUUUUUCAAUGGUCGUGGAAUCCACCGUCAUCUUUUCCCUCAUAUACCACGACGCUAAAUCACCGUCGUUGUUAAAAUAUACAACGUCAUCAACAAAUACAAAACGACGUCUUUGUACUGCAAAAAGAUCUAAAAAAGCAGUCGAGGAUGAGAAUAGACGACCAACUCUCUAAAAAAACCGUCGUUAAAAAGGAAAAAUAUGACACAUAUUAAGAGAACAAGGCCGCAAGAUAGACAUACAACGACGGAAAUAAAACAACGACGCCGUUAAAUAUCAUUUUCACGACAAUAAAAAAUUUGACGUCUUUAAAUACAUUAGAAGACGACGUUAUUGAUACCUACUACGUCGCAUAUAUAAAAACAGCCGUCGUAAAAUUAAUUUUCCACUUCGAUUUUUCGAUAAAAGAUGACGUGGAAAUAGUUGUCAGUGUCAUUAUUUACGACGUAUGUAUUUAUUGAGUAGACGUUGAAAAACUAAACAACGUCGGUUACAAAUAUAUGAGAGUCGUAUUACAAAAUUUAUACGUCAUAUUUUCAGAAACAAACAACGACGAUAAAUAUUAGACGUUGUUAAAUAAAACAACGUCGGAAAACAAUAAAAACAGACGUGUUUAGUCUGCUAAAGUUCUAGAAAAUAGUCGAGGAUGAGAAUAGACGACCAACUCAAACAAAUCACCGUCGUUAAAAAGGAAAAAUAUGACACAUGUUAAAAGAAAAAGGCCGCAAGAUAUACAUACAACGACGACAACUAAAAUUUUACGCCGUUAAAUAUAAUUUACACGACAAGAAAAAAUAUGACGUCUUUAAAUACAUGAGAAGACGACGUUAUUGAAAUAUACUACGUCUCUUAUUUACAAACAACCGUCGUGAAAUAAAUUUUCCACUUCGAUUUUUCUAAAAAAGAUGACGUGGAAAUAGUUGUCAGUGUCAUUAUUUACGACGUAUGUAUUUAUACAGUUGACGUUGAAAUGCGAAACAACGUCGGUGGCAUUUAUAUAGUCGACGUUGUAUUUAUAUCUAUCAUCAUUACUCACGACGCACUUAAUAAUAUAGACGACGUUGAACUUCUAAACAACGUCGGUUCCAAAUAAAUGAGAGCCGUAUUACAGAACAUAUAGACGGCGUUGAUUAUGAUGAGAGCCGUAUUACAAAUAACGUCGUUUAAUUGUUAUUAGACGGCGGUUAUAAUGAAUUUCCGUCGGAAUUCAUUUCGUUCCUCUUCGUUUAUAAAAGAACUUGCGACGUGGAAAAUGUAUGAUGACGUCGUAUUUUUUAACGUUCAGAUUAUAUAUCUCGUUUUUUAGACGUCGGUAUUAUGGGAUUGGAGUCGUGUUAUUUUGAAUUACAUGGCGGUUCUUAAUCCUUCCCCGACGUGAUAUCCUGAUUAAUUGCUUCACAAUUGCGUCGUGGUUCUUCAUUGUUACGUUGCUUUAAGACGUCGGUAAAUAUGCUGAAUAACUGGUUCACAAUAACGUUGUGUUUUAUUUGAACGUAGAAAGUGAAGAAAUCACAUUACAAUAUAUUACAAAAUUAAUGUCAUACACUGCCAAUUACAUAAGCAUCAUUCAAUCCAUAUAUCUUCACACCCAUCUCGAAUAUUUUGACCGCCUAACUCACCCACCAGUUCAUCAAAUGUGUCAACAUUUGGCAUCCCUCUAGUAAAUGGCUCACACUCAAUUAUCACAUCACCUAAGACUUCAUCACCAAUAACAUCAUUAUAUUCUCUAUUAGGCAUUGAUAACACUACCGACCAACCACGAUGCAUCGGGUCGUCAACAAAAAAUAUUUGUUUGACUUGAGAAGCCAAAACAAAUUGGUCAUUCCUAUGUCCAAUUUUACUCAAAUCUACAAGGGUAAAUCCAAGUUCGUCGACUACAAGACCAGAACUAUCUAUCCAAUCACACCUAAAGACUGGGAUUGUAAACUUUUGGUAGUCAAGGUCCCAAAUUUCUUGAAUGACACCAUAGAAACCCAUAUUUGAGAGAAUUGGGUUUUUAUCCUUGGCACUAGCAACUUGCAUGGUAUGUGCAAGUAAAUAAACUCCACUAUUUUGAGUUGUCCGCACAUCAUCUUGUGCCUUGAUAUUGAAUUUAAUACCUUUAAUAAGAUAGCUCCUAUAUAAUGGCACUGACAUGUUUGGACCAGCUGCUAGCCACCUUAAAUUUUCUGAUACGCCAUGAUUGUCUUCCUCAAGUUCACUUUGAACCUGCAAAUUAAUCAUAUCUUAAUUCAAUCUAACAUAUAAAUAAGAAGAAAAUUAAAAGAGAAAUAUGUUAUUCAACAAUAUAUACCUUGAAGCGUAGCCAUUGAAUGAAAGUGCUAUUGUGCUUAUCCUGCAGCCACUUUGUUCUCUUUCUAAAUUUUGGAUAAGCAGUCUUGAUGUGAAUCAUAUGUUGCCUACAUGACACGAAAAAUUCAAGCAUUACGGUCCUAAAUAUAGAAGAUAAACAUAAGAAAUAAUUUAAAAUGGAAACUUAAAGAAUAAAGCUCAUACGUACUCGAUAUAAGGUAGGACUUCCUCCGUAUUCUCCAAGACAUAUAGAUGUGCUUGAUUCAACAGGUCCUGAUCAACUACGCUCACUGUGCAACCUGAUAAUGGCUUUGAAAGUCCCAUCUUUUGGCUUGAAGGCACUCCAACUGUACUAACAUCAGAUAAAUGCUGAGUACAACACUCUACCGCUUCUUCAGCUAUAUACCGCUCAGCAAUGCAACCUUCGGGACGAGUACGAUUCUGAACAUACCCCUUCAGCACUUUCAUAUAUCUUUCAAACGGAUACAUCCACCUAAAAUAUACUGGCCCACAUAGACGAACUUCUCUGACAAGAUGUACUACUAGAUGAACCAUGAUAUCAAAGAAUGAAGGGGGAAAGUACUUCUCAAGCAAACACAGAGUAACUACUACAUCUUCUUCCAACUUAUCUAGCUUGGAAACAUCAACAGUCUUUGCACAUAUAGCAUUGAAGAAGAAGCACAAACGAGUUAUUGCAUACCUUGCAGGCUUCUCCAAAACAGAACGAAUUGCCACAGGGAGCAAUUGUUGCAUUAAGGUAUGACAAUCAUGUGAUUUAAGGCCAAGAAGUCUUGAAUCUUGUAAAGAUACAAGAUUUUUAAUAUUUGAAGAAUAACCUUCAGGGACCUUCAUACCAUAGAAAGAAUUGCAAACCUCUCUCUUCUCUGCUCUUGACAAAUUCCAAGGCCCAGGAGGCAAACGAGUACGUCUUUCUCCAUACUCGGGUUGCAAAUCAGUUUUGACCCCCAUGUUCAAUAAAUCUAAUCGAGCAGCAAUCCCAUCUUUAUUUUUUCCAGGGAUCUCCAGCAAUGUACCAAUGAUACUAUCGCAAACAUUCUUCUCAAUGUGCAUAACAUCUAGGGCAUGCCUCACAGGAAGGUAUUUCCAAUACUCGAGAUCAAAGAAUAUUGAUUUCUUCUUCCAACAAACUCUGUCACCAUUUUCAACCAUAUGCAGCACUUCUUCUCCGGUUAAUGGCUCGGGAGGUAUGCCAUAUUCAGGUUUCCCAUUAAAAGCUGCACGUUGCCUCCUAUAUGGAUGAUUGAUUGGUAACCAUUUUCUAUGCCCAAUGUAACAAAUUUUGUGGCCAUUUUUCAACCUGUGACUAGGUGUAUCAUCGCCGCAUAUUGGACAAGCUUUAUAUCCUUUAACAACAGAACCAGAUAAGUUUCCAUAGGCGGGGAAAUCAUUAAUUGUCCACAUUAAUGCAGCUCUGAGUGUAAAGUAUUCUCCAUUAUGUGCAUCAUACACUCCUCUAAUCCCAACCCACAAGGAUUUUAAAUCAUCAAUCAAAGGCUCCAAGUAGACGUCUAUAUCAUUUCCGGGUUGUUUAGGACCGGAAAUCAAUAAGGUUAACAUCAUGAACUUUCGUUUCAUGCACAGCCAUGGAGGGAGAUUAUAUGUAACUAAGAUAACCGGCCAACAACUAUAUCUGCUACUUAGAGAACUGUGGGGAUUGAAUCCAUCAGAUGAAAGAGCCAAUCUCAAGUUUCUCGGCUCAUUACCAAACUCAGGCCAUUUAUCAUCAAGAAGUUUCCAAGACGGGGAAUCCGCCGGAUGAGACAUCUGACCGUCAAUUGAUUUUCUAGCAGCAUGCCACCAAGUCAAACUCUUAGCUGUCUCAUGUGAUUGAAACAUCCUUUUAAACCUUGGAAUUGGGGGAAAAUACCACACCACCUUCGCUGGCACACCCUCUUUCAAGAUUGAAUCUUUGCCUUCCUUCCACCUUGAGAUACCACAAGUAGGACAAUUAGUUGAAUCCUCAUACUCCUUCCUAUACAAGAUGCAAUCAUUGGGGCAUGCGUGCAUUUUCUCAUAACUCAGCCCCAAUGCACACAAAGUCUUUUUAGCCUCAUACAUGGAGGUUGGUAUUGUAUUUCCUUCUGGAAGCAAAUCGCCUUGAAGUAUCAAUAAUUCUGUAAAACAGACAUCACUCAUCCCAUGUUUUGCCUUCAAAUUAUACAACUUCACUAAUGCCGAUAACUUCGUGUACUUUCUACAACCAGGGUACACUGGUUGAUCUCCAUCCCCAAUCACAUUGGCAAACUCAUACGGAUCCGAACCAAAAUCACCAAAAUCAUUAUCAUCCAUAUCAAUUUCUUCAGACACAAAACUGUACCUACUAUGGCCAUCAUCUUCUUCAACAUUUCUACUAGCAUUAGUAGUUGCUUCCCAAGGUUCUCCGUGAAAUGUCCAAUUCUUAUAGCUUUGGUCAAUUCCAUUAAAGUAUAAGUGAUCCCUUAUAAUUCCAACCCCAAACAACUUCAAAUUAACACAUUUAACACAUGGACAACGGAUAUGUGUUGUAGUUAGAAGAUUUUCUACAGCAAAGUUCAAAAAUGCUUCCACCCCAAAUUCAUAUGCCUUCGAUCUUCUAUCCGAGUGCAUCCAUGACUUAUCCAUCUCCGACACUAUAACCUAUUAUCUAUAAUAAAGUGAAAAUACAGGCAAUGACCAUCACUAUAGCAGAUUAUAAAAUGAUCUAAUCGCAAGUAAUACACAACAGAGACGACGGGUUUUAAACAAAAACAGACGUAUUUGGCAUAUAUAGACGACGGAUUUUCAACAGACGUCGUCUAUUAUAAGUAAUACAAACGACGGUUUAUGAAAAAACCGUCGUGUAUAAGUAAUACAACGACGGUAGUUUAAAAAAAUCGUCGUGUAAUCGUCGUCGUAAGCCUUAAAAUUCGUCGUGUCUCAGUUUAUUUUCAAGAACACAAAACCCAUUAAGAACACAACAUAUAUAUGAAACCAAGCAAGAAACCAACAUAUACAUGAAACCAAGCAUGAAAACAAUAAAUCCAUUCCCAAUUCAACAUAACAGAUAAUCCAUGAACCCAUUAAACAGAAAAUCCAUGAACCCAUACCUAUAAGCACAUUAUUAACAGAUCGCAAAGCAUACACAUAAAACCCUUUAACAAAACAACCUAAUAUAACUCGAAUCGUUACUAGAAUCAUCACUCGAAUCCCCAUCUUCAUUAUCAGUUUCUUCCUUCGUAGGUACUAUUUGCUCCCCAUCAUUUUCUCCAUAGCGGAAAAUGACAAGAUCAAAUAAAGGUGUACUUUUGCUGGAAAUCAUUUGGAAGUUGGUGAUCUGUGUCUUUUUGUGUUGAUUUCCAGCAAAAGUACACCUUUAUUUGAUCUUGUCAUGAACCCAUUAAACAGAAAAUCCAUGAACCCAUACCUAUAAGCACAUUAUUAACAGAUCGCAAAGCAUACACAUAAAACCCUUUAACAAAACAACCUAAUAUCAUUCAAUGAAUUUACAAGGGGAAGAUAGGGUUUAUACUUACAGGUUGGACGAGCUCACAGAUUCGACGGAGCCUGGAGAGUGCAACUUUUAAUUAGAGCAGAAGUGAGAGAGCGAAAUGUUAUGUCGCGCGAAAUCUGAAAAUUUAAGGUUUCAGGGUUCGAAGUAUAAGAAUAAGAGCCAAAUCUAAAAAAAUUUAGGUCGCGCGAAAAUUUUUAGAGUUCGCGCGUUUUAAAACGUCGAAAGAAAAACCAAGGCGAAAGUUCUACACGUACCGACGUAAAUUUAAUAUUCCACGACGGAAACUUCAUUUUUCGGAUUAAGAACGUAAGGCCGUUCAUUUUGAAGCUUCAUUUUUCGGAUUAAUUUUAAAUUUAUUUUGAAUUUUUUAUAUAACGACGACUGAAAAACCACGUCGGUGUUAAGAAAUUAAAGACGUUGUAAAUUAUAUAAACCGACUUACAUAUUAAAAUGACGUCGUUUAAAGCGUAAACCAUGUCGUAUGUUUUUCUGUACGACGUAAAAUAUGUAUUCCACGACGCAACCACCGUCGUUAAAAAUUAAUACCCUAAACCCAUAAAACUAAAUUAUACAAUUUAAAAAAUUAAGUUUAUAAAAGGUUUUAUGGUUUUAAAGCCUAACAUAUACCCUAGACUACCCAAAAAUUAUACUUUAAAAAUAAACCCCAAUAAAUAACAACCCUAAUCUCUAAACCCUAGACUCUAAACCCUAAACCAUAAAACUAGAAGUGAUUUUAUGACUCAUCAAAACAAUUUUGUUUUGGAUGGUCAUUUUAAAUUUUUGUUAUUCAAAAUGAAUUUUUUCAAGGUUUAUGUGGAAGAAAAUAUAUCAAUGACUUCAUAGGAGUUGACUUUUCAAUUUUCUGAUUUAUUUUAAAUUUAUUUUGAAUAUUUUGAUAUAAAAAUAAUAAAAUAUUCUUACCACAACAACAAACCACGUCGGUGUUAAUAAAUUGUAGACGUUGUAAAUUGUAAUAGACUACUAAGUCGUUAAAAUGACGUCGUUAAAAUGAGAAACCAUGGCGGCUAUUUAACUAUACGACGUAAAAUAUAUAUAUCAACGACUUAACCGCUGUCGUUACAUAAACGUCGUCGAUGAUACCCUGAACCCUUAAGAAAUUGAAGAUGUUGUAAACCAUAAACGACUCAAUUGUUCAAAGAACGUCGUCUAACUAUAUUUUUACGUCGUAUUUGUUUAAAACACGAAACAACAAAAUACGACGGUUUGUGACUUUAUUAGGUCGUUGGAAAAGUAUUACACGUCGGUUAAGCAAUUUGUAUGUUUGUUUUUUUUUUAAUUUAAGAAAACCUCAACAAAUUUUUACAUUACAUAUUAUAGAGAAAAUUUGUACAUUAUACAUAAAUAUCAAGUGUUCAAUAAUUGCCCUGUUUAAUAAUUUGGAAAACAAACUCUGCCCAUUCAUUCCGGACUUCAUCAAUGGCUUCUUGGGGGUAUGAAGCUUCCUGGUUUCCCUUGGCAUACUGCAUAAACAAUGACUAUUAGGGUUUAUAAAUAAAAAGAAAUUCAAUCACAGACGACGAUAUUUUUCAUAACCGACGUAGUAUAUCCAUUCAACGACGUUAAUUUUACAUGACCGUCGUUGAUAAUACAAAAAACGACGUGAAAUGUAUGAAGGUAAUUUCUUCUUACCUUAUUCUCAAACCCCAAGGAAGGAUCCAUGAUGAUGUCCCUCAUGAAGCGCAUCACAUAAUACCCGCAUUCGACAUUGCUGGGUUGCUUUGGUGUGCCUGAGAGAGUUUUCCAAAUUACAUUUUUACGUCCUGCUCGGGCUAUGUGGGUAUUAUAUAUUUUUAAAGCACUGUUCACGAUGUUUUUCGCCUCUUCGUCGACCACACGAUGACCUGGCAGAGGAUCCAGAAAAUAGACGGUCUCCUUCUUUGCUCUUACAAUCAGCAAGAUCCAAUGACGGCUGCACAAAAUUAAUAUAAAAACGACGGUUAUUUACAAAAACGACGUAUUAUAGUAUUCACACGACGAAANNNNNNNNNNNNNNNNNNNNNNNNNNNNNNNNNNNNNNNNNNNNNNNNNNNNNNNNNNNNNNNNNNNNNNNNNNNNNNNNNNNNNNNNNNNNNNNNNNNNCGACGGUUUAUUUACAAAACCGACGUAUAAUAGUAUUUCCACACGACGAAAUAAAGUAGAUAACGACGACAUUAUAUAUUUAUCACGACGAUAAAUAAAUACCGACGUGGUUAGUAGUUUCAAACGACUAAAUAAAAUAAAACACCGACGUGGUUAGUUUAUAAUCUGUCAUUUAUUGAAAAUCAUAAAAACAAAAUCCUAAGGAGACUAACCCUGGAUUGUAAGGCAUCAUGAAAAUCUGUUCACCCGUCUGUCUUCUGAAGUCGAGCUGCUACCAGUCGUGAUCUUUCAGUUAUUGUGCCAGAGUUGGCACUAACUGUAGCAGGGUCGAUAAAGCCAACCAUGCUGCACAUAUUGGCUUGUUUCAAAACAUCGUGUAAGUACCUAAAUACAUAAAAUAAUAUAAACAAGUCAGCACAAACAAACAUGACGGUUAUGUAUAAAAAAACGACGUAUUAUAAUAUUUCACACGACGUACUGAAAUAGAUGAGGACGUUAUAAUAUAUUUAUCACGACGGUAGUUAGUUAAGACGACGUGGUUAGUUAGUUAAGACGACGCAAUAUAUAAACCAACGAGGUAUUAUUUUAGAAGUACAAACCUCAUAUAUACAGCCAAUACAGUAGCUCCAAUUUCUUCCAUGCCUGCAAAUUGUGUAAUAUCUUCAGGCAGGAGGAAGGUAUCGCGCUCACCACCAAACACCUCCUUAUUAAUUGUAAAUUGGAGUGUCUUAUCCUCAGGCAGGAGUGUCGUUUCCACAAAACGACAAAGGGUUUUUAAAGAAGAUGGCGCCUCCAUAUUUGAAUAAGCACCAACUUCAAUAACCUGUUUAAAGAAAUAAAAAAAAUGACAUGGUAAUUCAAUAAAGACGACGGUUUAAGUAAUAAAACGUUGUCUUAAAAGUAUUUAAACGACGGUGAAAAAACCGUCGUGGUAAUUCAAUAAAGACGACGGUUUUAUGAAUAAAGCGUCGUCUGAAACCAUUUAAACGACGGUGCAAAAAUCGUCGUUUAAAUAUUUUAUUACGUCUUAAAAAAAUUCCGCCGUCUAAGUUUUAAACAAACGACGGAUUAAAUAAAAAUAUCGACGUCUGAAAUUUUGAAAAACAAAUAAAAAAGGCAAAGUUAUGUGAACAUACCUUGUCGUCAUGCUUUUCUUCAUCUUCUUUCUCCUUUUCUUCUUCCUUCUCUUCAUCUCUUUUUUCUUCUUCCUUCUCUUCAUCUGGCUGAUGUUUCCCCAUUUUGGCAGUAUCAUCCUCCAAAUGUAGGGAUCUCACAUCACCUCCAGAGCAGCUAGCUUUGUCAGACAUUGGAUUUUUGGGGCUUUGGCUAAUUCUUGGUUUAAGCAUGCUUGGAUCAAAAUUGGGAAUUAAUUGGGAAAGCUGACUCAGGAAAUGCUCCCUCUCAGCCUCUACCAAUUGUUUUGUCCUAGCCUCCAUCCUUAAGGCCUCUUCCCUUGCCUUAGCCUCCAUCUUUUUAGUCUCUUCUUGAAGGAGAACUCUUAAACUGUCCUUCAAACGGUCGUCAAAGCUCACCCUCUGUGGUUUGGGAAAAUUGAAAUAUUGCCUUGGGGAAACACCAGCACCAACUCCCCUCAGUCUGCCUGGAUGCUCGGGGCCCAAAGCCAUGGUCAGCACAUCAUUGCUGCCAUCUACUCUGACUUUGCCUUCCGAGACUUGUUUCUGCAAUUCAUCCUAAAAAAAGAUAAACAAAAAAACACACGACGGUUAUUUAUGUACAAACGACGUAUUAUAUAAUUUCACACGACGCAAUAACGUAUAAACCGACAUUAUUAUAACUUAUCACGACGGUGGUUAUACCGACGUGGUUAUUUAUUUAAAACGACGAAAUGAAUAAACAACCGACGUCUUAUGCUAUAAUUAAAGAUAACAGAGUAGUGACUCCUAUUUAGACCGUUAACGACGUUUUUAAAAAAGUUUCGACGUGGUAAUAUCAUUCACACGACGCGAAAAUGAACCACCGACGUCUUAUGCUAUAAUUACAGAAAACAUAGUAGUGAUUCCUAUUUAGACCUUUAACGACGUUUUUAAAAACUUUUCGACGUGGUAAUAUCAUUCACACGACGCAAAAUAUAACAUACGACGUAAUAAGAAUAAUUCACAGUUUAAUACAAAUUUAAAACAGAGUGAUAGUAGGCUUACUAUUAAUUUUGCUUUCUCUGCCACCUUUGGAUCAGGGAUGUUACCAUGUUUGUCCUGUCUAGCUCUCUUCCAUAAGGUAGAUCGAUCAAUUUCUACCCCAGGCAUGGUUUCCUCCAAUUGAUCCUCCAAUCCAGCAUAUCCUUUUCGAGACAAUCGAUGAUUGUACUCGAGUUUCUCCCUAAUCUGUGCAUGUUGAGAAUGCACAGACUCAAAAUCUUUGGAUAGCCUUGAAGCUACAAAGGCAUCCCAUUGUGCUUUCUCUGUGAAUUUAUAUGUUUCAGGGGGUUGGCUUAAUUUCUCCCUGUCAUUGGUGUAUGGAAGGAUAUAAUGCCUCGUUAGUGUAGACUUGAAAUCCUUCCAUUUCUUGGAAGCAGAAGCUAAAACAGAGGUCUUGCCCCCUUGGCCUACGACAAAAGCCAUGUCAACUGCUUCCCAAAUCUGCUCCUUUAUAUCCUUGGGGAUUUGGGACCAUUUCUUGUCCACAAGUGGGAUCCUGGAGCGUGCCAACACACCAAUAUACGACUGCAUCUCAAUAUGUGCUUGGCCAACACCUUUCCCCCUUUUAUUGUACUCAACAAUUGGCCUCAGUUUCUGAAGCUUUCUCUUCACAACACGAGGCAUUGUGCUCAUACCUCGACCAGUCUUUGAAUCAUCUGAGAUUGUUGUCUGGCUGGUUUGUUCUGUCUCAGCAGAUGAUGAAGCAAACUUCAUCUUCUUCGAAGACUUCAUCUCCUUCGAAGACUUGUCUUGAGGAGCUACCAUUCCAAGCUUCUUGGAGCCAGAAUCCUUAGUUUGUUGUUGAGAAACCAUUUUAACAGACAAAACUGCAAGUGAAAAUAUUUCAGGAAAACAUUAAGAACACAAACGACGGUAUUAAAAAAAUACGACGUAUGAUAUGAUUGUAGACGACGCAAUGAAAUAAUCUCAGACGUAAUAAAUGUUUAAAACCAUUAUUUAUAUAACGUCGUGGUAUAUAUGUUCACACGACGUCAAUAGUAAUACACCGUCGUGGUAAACUAUUAUUUAUAUAACGUCGUGGUAUUUAUGUUCAUAUGACGUCAAUAGUAAUACACCGUCGUGGUAUUAACAUUCACACGACGUAAAACAAUAAGAUAUUUUGUCGUCUAUAUUAGAUACCAACCCUAGUUUCUUUUUCUUUAUAUUUUAUCAAAUAAGGGAAAAACAAAAACCAUUGUUCAGCGAAAUCAAACCUGCAAUUAAACAAGCAUAUAAAAAAAGACUAUUAUUUUAAAAACAACUUUGUCAAUUUUCAGACGACGCUAGAACAACUGACGAACCGUCGUGGUCUACCUUCGUCUUAUUUAGUUGAUGUAGUUGUCUUCAAAGUUGGAAACUUUCACUCUUUGUCUGUAUAUUUUAUCAAACUUGGAAAGAAGUAAAAUGAUUUUGGCCAGAAAAAAGGUAAAAAGAUUUUUCAAACAAAAAACGUAUGAGCAUGCAAAACAGUAACCAAAAUAGUGAAGAUGAAAGCUUACCUUUUGCGUGCAAUGAAAGCAAGAGGAAGAUGAUCGAUGUUUAAGUUCAGAGACGACGAAGAAGACGAGAGGAAGACGAUGAGAAACUCUGACAAUGCUCUGACAAGGAAAAAAGACGAAAAGGUUUCUCUGGGAGAUUGAAAUUUUUAAUCGGGUUUGGAAACAGUGCAUGUGUAAGUCGAAAAGUUGCUUACAUAUAAAACCAUUUCAAAAAAAUAAUACGGCGGUUACAUUUAACUACGUCGUUUUUAACUAAAACGACGCAAUAUUUUUCAUUCGACGUGGAAUCAUUUCAUUUAACGUCGUUAGGUUUAAUAUAACCGACGUGGAUUUUAAUUUUUAAAUUAUGAAUAGAAUUUUUUUUCCCGUGACCUUUCAGUUUAUUUUUCAAUUACAGUGCGUUAUAAAUAGAGUUUUUUUUCCGGAGGAAAUUUAAAACGAAGGAAAUUAAUAUUCUGCAAUAUGUAAAGUUUCUUUUUUGGAUGACAGAUUUAAAUAAAAUAAGAAUAUAAAAACAACAAAUGUGUAAGUCAAGUAGACGAAAAGUUGCUUACAUAUAAAACCAUUUCAAAAAAAUAAUACGGCGGUUACAUAUAACUACGACGUAUAAAUUACAAAAUACGACGGUACAUUUAACUUCGGACAUGGUAAAUAAAUACGACAGUAGUUUGUAGGUACCGUCGUAGUAAACUCAAAAAUUAAAGUACAUAAGUAAUAACUCGCGUCAUGGUAUAUUAUUUAACACGUCGUUUGUAUUAAUUUACCGACGUGGAUUUCUGUAAUAUACGUCGAUAAUACCGACGUUGAUUUUACAAUUUAAACGGCGGUUUUUUUGUAAGGACCGCCGUUGGUUUUAAAAAUUUAUUCUAUAAAUUUGUCGCUUUCAUUCAUUUUCGGUUUACAUUUAAGGUUCCAAGUUCUUCCUCUCUCAGUCUCUCAUGUCUCAAAGACAAUAAUUUGGAUGUUUUCUCAAAGAGAAAUUGAGCUUACUCGCAUCAAAUAUAUGUCCACAAGAAGAAGCUUGUCAACUAGCCUUCUCACUUCCUUGAUCAAGCCUGAUAGGACACUUAGUGCUUCUGAAUACUCCUUGCUUUCCAUCAAAAGAGAUGCAAGCCUGGCCUCCACUCGCUGUCGAAGGAAAGUUCGCUUCUCAGGGAAAUCUGAAGAUCAGAUGUGCCUGAUCCUCUGCUUGAUUUUCUUGCCUAAGAAGAUCCGUCGGAUUUAUUGUGAUAGCCUCUUCCUUUAUCCGUAGAGCUUCAGAAGAAGAAGAUGGGUUUCAAGAAUGCGAUAAAGAAUAGAAAUUGCUUCAGAUGGCCUCUAAAGCAUGAGCAAUUGAAUCAGUAGUUUCUGGGAGAUAUGAUGAAGACAUUGUCAAUGCUUUGAACUACACAAGUCCUGCAGAAAGAUAUGUUAAAGAAACUGAAACAACGGCGGUUUUCUGUUCUACCGUCGUCUUUUAUCGUCGUCUAUAUUAAGUUAAGAUGGCGGUAGAUUUAUAAUUACCGACGUAGAUUAUUUUGUUAAACGUCGUUAAGUGUACUACAACCGACAUGGAUUUUAAUUUUAAAUUAUAAAUAGAGUUUUUUUUCCCGUAUUCUUUCAGUUUUAGUUUUCAAUUCCAAAGCGUGAUAAAUAGAUUUUUCUUUCCCGAGGAAAUUUAAAAUGAGGGAAAUUAAUGUUCUAGAAUUUGUAAACUAACACGACGCAAUAUUUGCAAAUCAGUGUCAUCUGUUAAGAUUAUGAUGUGGAACAGAGUUCCAUCUGGUAAGAUUUCGUAACCCUUGGGAUCUCAGACAAAACUGAUUAUGUCGGCGGUGUUCUAUAUAAACCGUCGUGGUUAUUUCAAUUCUUGUCAUUAAGUAGAUCUACCGACGUAGGAUAAGAAAAUCAAAGAAAAAAAUUGUUAACAAAAAUUCUUAUUAAGACGACCGUUAAAAUUAAAGGUACGACGUAUAAAAUGAAUAAAUACGACGAUAAAUUUUAUUGUACGAUUUAAAGAUAACGUCGUAGAACUAUACGAGAAUGACGUCGAUAUAUUUAUAUUUUCCGUCGUUGUAAAUUAAUUUAAUACGGCGAUAUUUUGUAUUUUAAAGCCGUGGAUUUGUUUGUAAUUAUACGGCGUCUUAUACGAAAACCUCGUCGUGUUAUUUUAUGAGUAAAAACGGCAGUUUUUAUUGAAAUCGUCGUCUUUACUUUCUACGUCGGUCGAUUCAUAACUUCUGCCGUUCUUUGUUGGCAUUGAUUUUACACUGCGGAAAUCUGUUUCAAAUAGACGUCGGUUGUUUAAUUAUGUACGUCGUUGUUUUUGAACAGCCAUUUGAAACUCCAUUUUUUAGUUGUCUAAGGUUGUAUUACACGACGGUGUUUUUAGAACCGUCGUCUUUUUAUAAACCACGACGAUUUUCACUUAGACCGUCGUUGUUUUCUGGUCGUCUUUUUCACUUUUUGUAGUAGUGACUCUUCAGCAAUAUUUUAUCAAAAUAUCGCUAUAAUAUCGAAAAUAUCGAUGUAAUGAAAAAAAAAGAAAAAAGAAGAAGCACAAAACACACAUGCAAAGGGGAUUCAAACUCUUGCCAUUUCACUCUUUCAACGCCUUAACCACCAUGUUGCUUAUGAUUUUUUGAUAAUAUGGUAAAAUAUGUAUAUUUAUAUUCUUUUGUUUUGAACUGUUUUUGUAAGAAUCAGAUUUUCACAUGAGAAUGUGAGUCAUUGACCGUUCUUUUUGGGAUGGAAUCGAGCGGCUCACGGAAAGAAUUUAAGACCCAAAUCUUCAAAUGAUUUUGCUUAUAGACAAUGUCAAUCAAUCUCAGAUCCAUAUGGGUGACAUGUUAACAAUUACAUACAAAACUAUUUUGAGGAUUUAUCAUUUGAUGACUACUCUUCACAAUACACUUAUUCUACACAUAGAGAUGAUGAAGAUAGUGAAAAAUUUGAACUUCAUAGGAACUCUAUGUGGCACUAAGUCACUCAUGUAUCUUAGCAUGCAAGUAUAAAGUGUAAGAUAUUGUAGUAAAUUAUUAUAUAUAAAUGAUUAUGGUGUGUUUAAUCUUCUUUCAUUAAUUAUUACAUAUUUUCUAUACUCACAAUGUUCAUCAGCUUGCUAUAUAAUCAACUUAAAUCAGUUAAACCCAUCAUGCAAUGCAUUUCCUUCCAAUUUUUUGUGACUAAUAGAUAAUUGACUAAAUAAACAUCCUCCAAAGUUUCAAUAAAAUUUUCCAAGUUUUUCUUAUAAUUUACGUCGUUUUUAUUCAAUUUUCAUCGAUAUCAAUAAUAUUCAGAUAUUUCCAUCGAAUUUUCGUGUAUUUGGACUACCGAUAUUUUCGAUACCAUCGAUAUUUUAGACCUUGGGUAUAAUAUAUAUAUAUGAUAAAGAUGGACUCAUUAGAAUUCCAAGUCAUCCAACAUCGGUGGAUUAUGUUCAAUCAAAACUAGAAACUCCGAAAGCCACGAUGUCACACCAUAUGUGAAGCCAAGUCUUCAGAGGUCUAAGCCCAACCCGUGGAAGUAGGCCCAAAACCUCCUGAUGUUUUUAUGCACGUGACGAGAUCCAUCCAAGGAAAGCAGUUGAAGAAAUUGAUGUCAAUCCGGAACAUUCAUAAUGAGGAGAGAAUCAAGUGAUUAGAUUUGCAAUUCGAUAAUCUCAUUCGAAUUAAUUCCGCGGAUUUUGGAAGCUACGAAAAGAAAAUUUUUGAACGAAGUUGACCUUUUGUCAUUUGAUGGCCAACCCAUGGACUGACAGAUGCCCCUAUAUAUACCUCUUUAGAUGAAGAGCAAAGGAGACCGACAUGAGAUACAAAAACCUACUUUUUGUUUUUCACUUUUCUAUCCCUGGACUAGGUUUUUAUUUUCCAAGCAAGUAGACUAGAUUAGUUCUUCGAUUUCGUUAGUGUAAGUUUAAUUUCUUGCAUUUUCCAUUACGUUAUUUUAAGAUCCAAAUUUGUUGCUUUACUUUUAAUUGUUAUCGAUUUUUUUUUAAGUUUAAUAUAAUUUCAAAUUGCUUUAUUUUAUCAUAUUUAUCGUUCAUAUCGUUCAUAUAGUUCUUGUUUCAUUCUUACUUAAAUUUACGUUUAUUGUUGCUUCAAUCUUAUUUUUGCAUUUAUUUUCUUGUUAUUUAGUGGCUUGGUGGCUUGGUUUGCCUCAUACUAUGUAGAAGUGCAUGUACAAUUCGAUUUGAAGGGUGCAAAUUCAAGUGCAAAGAAGACACCAACGGGCACGGGUAGAGGUGGUUCAUCUGCCACAGCUGAGAAAAAAGGCGGCCAAGGUUCGGGGCUGAUGGAAAGAGAAAGAGAAGAAGAGGGAGAUGAAAGAAGAGACGUUGCCUUUCCUUCUUCCUGUAUUUGGCACGUUUUUUAAGAAAAUGUAAAUAGAUUUUUCCUCCACACAAACAUUUUUGGUAGGUCACUUGGUGAGGAACGGUAGGAUCUUCGGUUGUAGUGUUGGCUUACAGGGUUAUACUGGUGAUACUAUUGAAUUCAACUCCAAGAUUUAUCUUUUGCCUUUAGUAGCAUUUUAUUUUCAUCAAUGCACUAGAUAAUGGUUUUAGUAGAUUAACUUGUGUUUACGGUGGUUUGAUAUAGUGUGUCAGGUGACAAUUCUCACUGAGUAAUCUGAGAACCAGAGCUUCUACAAAAUCACUAACCAGUUCAUAAAAUAUGUUUGUCUUUUUCUAAUCUCACCAUGAGAAAUAUUAAUUAAUUUGCCUUAACAAAAAUAAUACAAAGUAUUGGUUUGUAUUAAACUUUGUUGGUUAAUACUUUUUUUAAUAAAAAAUUUGCUGCUGGUUAAUCUCUGGUUAAGCUUAAUAUUUAGGAGGGGUGUGUUUUCUCACACACAAAUGUCAAAGUGCCAUAAGGAUUUGAACAGAAGACUAUUAGUCUGCAAAGCAAGGUACUUUUUCACUAGUGUCCGAAUCAAAUCAUGCUUGAAGAAUACUAAUAGGGGAUUUUUCUUUCAGCUGAUAAAAGUAAAACAUCAAAGCUCAUCAUGGUGAUCGAAAACCAGAUGCAUCCAAAUUGCAAGGCAUGCCUUUCUCUUUGUGGUAGUAUAAUGAGCAUCCCUCUCAUACCCUCCAUAAUAAUCCUAAGCAUUAAUGUUGUAAAUUAGAUAAAUCCAUACAUACAUAAAACGAGCAUAAUAAGUAAUAGUAGCUAGUGGGAAUUAUAUCCCAACAAUUCAACAAGAACGAACAAAGUAGUAAUAUUCUCACUCUCAUAGCAAUACUACAAAUAGUAGGACAAAACAAUAUUGGUAAACACACGAGUGGUCCAUAUAGUUCUCCAGAAAUCCCUAAAAUAGAUCUUGCAUCUAGGUAUGCAACACCAUAUGAAGGGCCCAUACCAUAUGUGAUUAUGAACCUUUAUUUAACUACAUAUAGAUAUAGUAGUACAACAAAUAUUACUGUCCGUCUGGGAAACGGAAACCGUCAAUAUGCUACUGAUAAUAUGUCGAUAUAAUUGUCGCCAAUAAAACGUACUGACAUGUUAUCGAUACAUUUUCAGUAAUAUCGAUGCACAUAUAUUAUUUCAACAAUAUGCACAACCUUUAUUUAAUAAAGAACUGAUGGCUUGCAUAGAGAACUUCUGAGAUAUUCAUCAGAGACGUAUAUGUAAACACCAUUUUUAUUAAGGGGUGGUGGUUAUUGAAGGUGGAGAGAACGGAAAUAUGGGAGUUGAUGGGAAAUUUGGAAGUGAAGUAAUAAUAGGGGGAGGCAACCUAUAUUCUGGCCAUAAAGGUGUGGAGGUCAGAGGAGGAAACUUCAGGUUAGGGAUCUUGGGCAGCUUAUAACGAGGAAAGGUAGGGGCUAAGAGUUUUCGAGGGGCAGCGAAAGCUGAAUGUGUGCUUGAAAGUAAUGAAGCGAUGACAAAGAUAGCUAUGACAAACGAUUUCCAAGUUGCCAUCUUAGUGUGUGGAAAUAAAGCUUAUGAAAUUUGAUGUGAACGAGAAGACCAGCCUAUGGUUAUAAUUUAUAACGUUCAGAGGGAAC
rnacentral:lncRNA from 1 species